GCCGGGCGCGAUGGCUCACACUUGUAAUCCCAGCACUUUGGGAGGCCAAGGCGAGCGGAUGACCUGAGGUCAGGAGUUUGAGACCAACCUGGCCAACAUGGCGAAACCCCAUCUCUACUAAANNNNNNNNNNUUUUUUUUUUUUUUUUUUUUUUUUUAGUAGAGAUGGGGUUUCGCCAUGUUGGCCAGGUUGGUCUCAAACUCCUGACCUCAGGUCAUCCGCUCGCCUU
rnacentral:SRP_RNA from 1 species